UACGUAGGGUCCGAGCGUUGUCCGGAGUUACUGGGCGUAAAGCGCGCGCAGGCGGCGGUGUUGGCCCGGCGUGAAAGCCCCCGGCUCAACCGGGGAGAGUCGUCGGGGACCGCACCGCUUGAGGGCGGUAGGGGCUGGUGGAAUGCCUGGUGUAGUGGUGAAAUGCGUAGAGAUCAGGCAGAACACCUGGGGGCGAAGGCGGCCAGCUGGGCCGUCCCUGGACGCUGAGACACGAAAGCGUGGGUAGCAAACAGG
rnacentral:rRNA from 1 species